GACGAACGCUGGCGGCGUGCUUAACACAUGCAAGUCGAACGGUAAGGCCCCUUCGGGGGUACACGAGUGGCGAACGGGUGAGUAACACGUGAGCAACCUGCCCUUGCCUCUGGAAUAACAGUUGGCAACAGCCGCUAAUACUUGCUAUUCAUCGUCUCCUGCCUGGGGGGUGGUGGAAAGCUCCGGCGGUCAGGGAUGGGCUCGCGGCCUAUCAGCUUGUUGGUGAGGUAGUGGCUUACCAAGGCUUCGACGGGUAGCCGGCCUGAGAGGGUGACCGGCCACACUGGGACUGAGAUACGGCCCAGACUCCUACGGGAGGCAGCAGUGGGGAAUAUUGCACAAUGGGCGCAAGCCUGAUGCAGCAACGCCGCGUGCGGGAUGACGGCCUUCGGGUUGUAAACCGCUUUCAGUAGGGACGAAGGGUGACUGACGGUACCUACAGAAGAAGGACCGGCUAACUACGUG
rnacentral:rRNA from 1 species